UGAAUCCUCAUUACCAUUAUCCACUCCCCCAACAGAAUCUCCAGUUCCCUUGAACCCAUUCUUCAAGUGACCAUUUGGUGGAAUGGUCACAGAAACACUUGAUCCAGAGGAGUCCUCAAGGGGUGGUGAAUCAAGGAAUCUAUAAUCCGCCGGCAUCGAUUUAAGUGACUGAACAGAUGGCUUAACCUUCUGGGACAUUUUUCCUUUGAAACCAAAUCAGGAACCAGUUUUAAUGGUGAAAGACUUGAGAUUCACAAGAAUUUGAUUCAACCGAUGAGAUAGAUCUUGGACAUAGAUACAAACAUUCACACACACUUUAUAACUUUCCGUGAUUCUCUAGACGUAGACUCAGGAAACGAUGAAAUUAAAAAUGAGUAUUAACACUUUGGAGGGGGUUUACAGUAACAAUAGUGAGUAGGAAAAUUUAGAGAGAAGAUGAGAAAAUUUGGAGAGAAAGUCGGGAAGAAGAAGUAGAAGAAGAUGCAACUUCUUUUCUUCUUUCUCUGUUUAGUAAAACUGUUCUCUUCUCUUUGUAAAUUUUCUAUUUUUUUUUUUAAUUUGGUCAUCCGAUUCCGACAGUUUUGAAUGUCUUUUUUGGCCACCACCACCACCAGUGGAAUUUUCAGCAACCUCACGUGGUCAAAAUUCCGAUUAUGCCCUUCGAUAUUUUUAUUAACCGAUUUUUUGUUUUUCAAAUUAUGUGAUAUUACAAAGUUUAAUGUUGAUAAUUAAUGUUUUCAAAUUUUAAAUUAUAACUAAACGGAACUAUUAAUUCGGAUUUUUUUCUAUUAUUAUAUCCUUACAAAUGAUUAAAUACGUUACUAUGAACUACACAGUAUAUGAAAUGUAUUUAAAUGAUAACCAGUAUGAUAUCUACUUUUUACACAUUCAAGAGUAUUUAAUAAUCCUAUAAAUUAAGAGCAUCUCCAAUGUAAAACUCUAUUUUUUCCUCUAAAAUAGAGUAAAAGUGAAAAUGGAGUAAAAUUUCUCCAACCCUACUCUAUUUCCCACUCCAUAAUGGAGUGAUGAAUAAACAAAAAAUAAACUACUCCAUUUAUGGAGUAAAUUUCAUUAUGGAGUGAGAUAUGGAGUUGGGUUGGAGCAUUACUUACUCUAUAUCCACUUUUACUCUAUUUUAGAGGAAAAAAUGGAGUUGAGAUGGAGAUGCCCUAAGAAGCUUGGUGGGCUAAUAUAAGUCCACCA